UGCGUAGGUGGUCUUGUAAGCGUGGAGUGAAAGGCAGUGGCUUAACCAUUGUUAGCCUUGCGAACUGUGAGACUUGAGUGCAGGAGAGGAAAGUGGAAUUCCUAGUGUAGCGGUGAAAUGCGUAGAUAUUAGGAGGAACACCAGUGGCGAAGGCGACUUUCUGGACUGUAACUGACACUGAGGCACGAAAGCGUGGGGAGCAAACA
rnacentral:rRNA from 1 species